rnacentral:rRNA from 1 species
CGUUCCCGGGCCUUGUACACACCGCCCGUCACACCACGAAAGUCGGCAACACCCGAAGUCAGCGGCCCAACCCGCAAGGGGGGAGCUGCCGAAGGUGGGGUUGGUGAUUGGGGUG